rnacentral:rRNA from 1 species
UACAGAGGUCUCAAGCGUUGUUCGGAUUCAUUGGGCGUAAAGGGUGCGUAGGCGGCGCGGUAAGUCGGGUGUGAAAUCUCGGGGCUUAACUCCGAAACUGCAUUCGAUACUGCCGUGCUUGAGGACUGGAGAGGAGACUGGAAUUUACGGUGUAGCGGUGAAAUGCGUAGAUAUCGUAAGGAAGACCAGUGGCGAAGGCGGUUGCCUGGAGCUUUGCUGACGCUGAGGCGCGAAAGCGUGGGGAGCGAUCCGG